UGCCCCAUGGCUGAGUUGGUUACAGCGUCCGACUGUUAUCCUCUGGGUUGUCAUCGGAAGGUCGUGAGUUCGAGCCUCACUGGGGCAG